GAUGAAGAACGUAGCGAAAUGCGAUAAGUAAUGUGAAUUGCAGAAUUCAGUGAAUCAUCGAAUCUUUGAACGCACAUUGCGCCCCUUGGUAUUCCGAGGGGCAUGCCUGUUCGAGCGUCAUUAUAACCCCUCAAGCUCAGCUUGGUGUUGGGGCCUGCUGCACUGGCAGCCCUUAAAAUCAGUGGCGGCGCCGUCUGGCUCUAAGCGUAGUAAUUCUUCUCGCUAUGGAGUCCUGGUGGAUGCUUGCCAUCAACCCCCAAUUUUUCUAUGGUUGACCUCGGAUCAGGUAGGGAUACCCGCUGAACUUAAGCAUAUCAAUAAGCGGAGGA
rnacentral:misc_RNA from 1 species